rnacentral:rRNA from 1 species
UGACCGAUAGUGAACCAGUACCGUGAGGGAAAGGCGAAAAGAACCCCUGUGAGGGGAGUGAAAUAGAUCCUGAAACCGUGUGCAUACAAGCAGUAGGAGCAGACUUGUUCUGUGACUGCGUACCUUUUGUAUAAUGGGUCAGCGACUUAUUGUCUGUAGCAAGGUUAACCGAUUAGGGGAGCCGUAGGGAAACCGAGUCUUAAUAGGGCGCGAGUUGCAGGCAUUAGACCCGAAACCCGGCGAUCUAUCCAUGGCCAGGUUGAAGGUGCCGUAACAGGCACUGGAGGACCGAACCCACUUAUGUUGAAAAAUGAGGGGAUGAGCUGUGGAUCGGAGUGAAAGGCUAAUCAAGCCGGGAGAUAGCUGGUUCUCCCCGAAAACUAUUUAGGUAGUGCGUCACAUCUUACCCUCGGGGGUAGAGCACUGUUUGGGCUAGGGGGUCAUCCCGACUUACCAACCCCAUGCAAACUCCGAAUACCGAGGAGUACAAUUGUGGCAGACAGACAGCGGGUGCUAACGUCCGUUGUCAAGAGGGAAACAACCCAGACCGCCAGCUAAGGUCCCAAAUGCUAGUUAAGUGGGAAACGAUGUGGGAAGGCUUAGACAGCUAGGAGGUUGGCUUAGAAGCAGCCAUUCUUUAAAGAAAGCGUAAUAGCUCACUAGUCGAGUCGGCCUGCGCGGAAGAUUUAACGGGGCUAAAUUAGCAACCGAAGCUGCGGAUGCUUUCGAGCAUGGUAGGGGAGCGUUCUGUAAGCCGUUGAAGGUGAAUUGAGAAGUUUGCUGGAGGUAUCAGAAGUGCGAAUGCUGACAUAAGUAACGAUAAUGGGAGUGAAAAACUCCCACGCCGGAAGAUCAAGGUUUCCUGUCCAACGUUAAUCGGGACAGGGUUAGUCGACCCCUAAGGCGAGGCUGAGAAGCGUAGUCGAUGGGAAACAGGUUAACAUUCCUGUACUUUUUAUUACUGCGAUGGAGGGACGGAGUAGGCUAGGUUAUCACGGCGUUGGUUGUCCGUGUUCAAGGCUGUAGGCAAGUGACUUAGGUAAAUCCGGGUUGCUCUCUUUAAUGAGAAUGCUGAGAGUUGAUGACGAGUCUCGUAAGAGACGAAGUAAUUGAUGCCAUGCUUCCAAGAAAAGCUUCUAAGCUUCAGGUAAUAGAGAAUCGUACUGUAAACCGACACAGGUGAUCAGGUAGAGAAUACCCAGGCGCUUGAGAGAACUCGGGUGAAGGAACUAGGCAAAAUGGCACCGUAACUUCGGGAGAAGGUGCGCCGGUGUUGGUGAUUGGACUUGCUCCAUGAGCUGACGCUGGUCGAAGAUACCAGGCCGCUGCGACUGUUUAUUAAAAACACAGCACUCUGCAAACACGAAAGUGGACGUAUAGGGUGUGACGCCUGCCCGGUGCCGGAAGGUUAAUUGAUGGGGUUAGUCCUCGGACGAAGCUCUUGAUCGAAGCCCCGGUAAACGGCGGCCGUAACUAUAACGGUCCUAAGGUAGCGAAAUUCCUUGUCGGGUAAGUUCCGACC